rnacentral:rRNA from 1 species
AUUGAACGCUGGCGGCAUGCUUUACACAUGCAAGUCGAACGGCAGCGCGGGCUUCGUCCUGGCGUCGAGUGGCGAACGGGUGAGUAAUGCAUCGGAACGUGCCCAGUAGUUGGGGAUAGCCCGGCUACAGCCGGAUUAAUACCGCAUACGACCUGAGGUUGAAAGCGGGGGACCGAAAGGCCUCGCGCUAUUUGCGCGGCCGAUGUCGGAUUAGCUAGUUGGUGGGGUAAAGGCUUACCAAGGCGACGAUCCGUAGCUGGUCUGAGAGGACGACCAGCCACACUGGGACUGAGACACGGCCCAGACUCCUACGGGAGGCAGCAGUGGGGAAUUUUGGACAAUGGGGGCAACCCUGAUCCAGCCAUGCCGCGUGAGGGAAGAAGGCCUUCGGGUUGUAAAACGCUUUUGUUCGGGAAGAAAUCCUGUGGGCUAAUACCCCGGGGGGAUGACGGUACCGGAAGAAUAAGCACCGGCUAACUACGUG